rnacentral:lncRNA from 1 species
GGUUUAUUGACUAUCACUACUGGUAGACUAAUCUAAUGUCUAUAAUGAAAUGAUAUAUAAGUUCUAGGCCUACACAGAGAACUAACUAGUAUGAAUAAUGGACAAAAAUACUAUCCCUGAGGCAAUGAGUAAAACUUCAACAAUGCAUUAAGGACUUGAUGAAUUAAUAAUGUUCGACCAGGAGUAGAAUGUAUAUAUAAAUGACCAGUCAAUUGAAAUUUAGAUUCUACAAAGUUGAUCGAUCAUGCUGAAGAGCAGAACAUGUAAACUGCGAUUGUUAUAAAUUGGUGUGUUGAAGAAGAGUCGUAUUUUCCAAGUCUUGUAAUCCCAUUCUAGUAUUACAACAUAUAUCCCGCAGAAUAUUUGAGAAGAGUAGAAU